GCGGCUGUGGCGGAAUUGGCAGACGCGCUGUCUUCAGGCGGCAGUACUCUAGGGUGUGUGGGUUCGAAUCCCACCAGCCGCACCA
rnacentral:tRNA from 1 species